AACGGCCGCGGUAUAUUAACCACGCAAAGGUAGCAAGAUCACUCGUCUUUUAAAAGAAGACCUGCAUGAAUGGCAUAACGAAAGUUUAGCUGUCUCAUUUUCCUAACCCAUAAAAUUGAAUUUUCCGUGCAGAUGCGGGAAUAAGAACAUAAGACGAAAAGACCCUGUGAAACUUUAGGAGUUACAGCCCUAAUUUAAAAUAAUAACUAUAUUAGAUCCUGUGUUCAACUUCUUUGGUUGGGGCGACCGCGGAGAAAAAUGAAACCUCCAUGAAAAAGACAUUAACUUUUUAAAGGAAGUUCACAACUUCCUUUUUAAACACAUCUACAUGAUGAUCCGGCCCACCAAGGCCGAUUAACGAAAAGAGCUACUCCAGGGAUAACAGCGCAAUUUCCUUUUAGAGCCACAUCAGCAAGUGAAGCUUACGACCUCGAUGUUGGAUCAGGACAUCCUAAU
rnacentral:rRNA from 1 species